rnacentral:lncRNA from 1 species
CUCAAGUUAAAGAUGAGAUACUGGAUUAAUAUAAAAAGGACACUUAGAUAGUCAUCCAGUUAAGAAAGUUCGGAAGGAUUGCUGGGAAUAUGAGUAUAAAAAACUAUCAAGCUUUGGAUGGACUGCCAAUGAGGAGGCACAGAAUAUGGGAAUUAGUGACAUCAAUAUUGCUCCUUCUGUGGCAACUUCAGCAAUUCCUCCUUGGCUUUUCCCUAUGCCUGUAGUUGACAUUCAGCUAUAUGAAGAAAAACAUAACCAGGAAAGAAGUAUGCUAACAAAUAUAGCAGUGCAGCAAUACAUUGAACAAACGUAUUAUAGCAUAUUGCAAAUAUACACGGAUGGCUCUAAAGAUCCUGAGUCUGGAAUAACAGCAGCAGCAGUCUACAUACCCCAAUUCAAAGUCAAAAUUUCAAAAAGAAUUUCAGAUCACAUAUCUGUUUAUACGACAGAGACAAUAGCAAUAUUCCUAGCUCUUCAGUGGAUAGAAGAAGUACAGCCAAUAAGGUCAGUAAUUUGUACAGACUCCCUUUCAGUUUUAAAUAGCUUGCUAAGUGGAAUUUCAACAGCAAGGCAAGAUAUCAUUUUUGAAGUGAUGCAGAGUCUAUUUAGAAUAAGACAAUCUGGUCUUAUGGUAAAUUUCCUUUGGGUACCAUCACAUAUGGGUGUGGAAGGAAAUGAGGAGGCAGACCAUCUGGCUAAACAGGCUCUGAGACAUGCACAAAUUGACAUUAAAGUGUCAAUGAGUAAAGCAGAAGUAAAAGGGUUAAUUGCAAAUGAAAUAAGAAAGAAAUGGCAGAAGGAGUGGGAUAGUGGAACAAAAGGUAGACACUUUCAUCAUAUUCAUGAGAAAGUAGGUCAAGAAAGAAGAAAGUUUGGCAACAUGAAAGAAUACGUUUUAAUGUCAAGAAUGCGUAUUGGACAUUGUUCGUUAAAUCAGUGUCUGUAUAGAAUGGGGAAGCAUGAAACUGGAAAGUGUGACAAAUGUGGUCAUGCAGAAUCAGUAGAACAUGUACUUAUAGAGUGUGUUGCAUAUGAAGGAGCAAGAUUUCA